rnacentral:rRNA from 1 species
AUUGAACGCUGGCGGCAUGCCUUACACAUGCAAGUCGAACGGUAACGGGCCUUCGGGUGCCGACGAGUGGCGAACGGGUGAGUAAUGUAUCGGAACGUACCUUUCAGUGGGGGAUAACGUAGCGAAAGUUACGCUAAUACCGCAUAUUCUGUGCGCAGGAAAGCAGGGGAUCGCAAGACCUUGCGCUGAUUGAGCGGCCGAUAUCAGAUUAGCUAGUUGGUGAGGUAAAGGCUCACCAAGGCGACGACCUGUAGCGGGUCUGAGAGGAUGAUCCGCCACGCUGGAACUGAGACACGGUCCAGACUCCUACGGGAGGCAGCAGUGGGGAAUUUUGGACAAUGGGGGCAACCCUGAUCCAGCCAUGCCGCGUGAGUGAAGAAGGCCUUCGGGUUGUAAAGCUCUUUCGGCCGGGAAGAAAUCGUAUCAGCUAAUACCUGGUGCGGAUGACGGUACCGGCAUAAGAAGCACCGGCUAACUACGUGCCAGCCGCCGCAGUAACAC